rnacentral:lncRNA from 10 species
AGAGCUCUGCCCUUAUGAAUGGAUUAGUAUCAUUAUUGCAGGAGUGGCUUCAUGAUGGAGAGAGUGGAUUUGUCAUGAAAGUGAGUUCGGCCAUUCCUUGCUGUCUCACGUGCCACCUCUUGCCAUGGGAUGCCCUCGCCAUGGGAUGACAGCAAGAAGGCCCUUGCUUGAGUGAGCCCCUCCAUCUUCGGCUCUCCGGCCUCCAGGACUGUUAGAAAUACAUCUCUGUUCUUUGUAAAUUACCCAGGCUGUAGUACUCUGUUAUAGCAACACAAAACAGACUAAGACACUACUAUGUAGAUGAAGAAACAGGCCCAAGAGGUGAGGAGUGUUGUCCAGGUCUUCUGGCCAGAGGAGCGGCAGAGAUGGGAUUUCAACCCUGGGACUGUGUGGCUUGUGACCACUCCUAGCUUCAGCCCUGCCCGGUGCUGAGGGGUUUGGGGCCAGAACGAUGGCCAGAUGUUUGGGCACACUGGGCCCUACCCACCUGGAAAGAGGCUGGCCUGGGGUUGAAUGAGAACCAGAAGUGACUCAGGCUAGGACCCCUCUGCACCCUCCCUCAGGCCGUGGGUAAUUACCUGCCCAGGUUAAUAGCGCCCACUUCCCGCCACCUUUCAUCAAGGCUCCUGGAGCUGCCAGGCAGUAAUUAACCCUCACAGCACCCUUCUGAAGUCAGCACUGGAGGCAGACGUGUGAUGAAACACGUUUAUUACAGGAAGCACCAGUUAGCCCAGAUGCUUCUCAUCUUUGGAGUUGAGCUGCAGGCUGGAGACCUGGAAGGCCCUCGCAGCGCCUGCUCCCAUCCUCUCACCUCACGAAAGCGCAGGAAUGUGGGUUUGGAGCCAAUGAAAAGUACUGGAAUCUGGCUCUGCUCUGUGACCCUGGACAAGUCACUGCCCCUCUCUGGGCUUCAGUUUCCUCCUUGCUCCAUGAGGGCAGGGGAUUUUGUCUGUUUCAUUCACAAUGUGUUCCCAGAGCUCAGCACAGUGUCAGGCACACACUAGGUAACAGCACCUCGACUUCCUACUGAAGAACCCCCUCUUCCCUUUUCUCAGUCCAUGAGGCUGGGGGUGCCCAGAGGCCUCUGUCUCCAGGGGUGGA